CUUCACACUUCUCAUCUUGGCGUACCAAUCCCAUCGAGGUAGCCAUUCACAAUACCAUAUAAUACGUCUGAUCAUAGACCUCUUCCGCACCGCACUCUACAUCCAUUCCCAGCAUCAACUCCCUCAUUCCCACUAAGGAGUUCUCACUGCACUGCGCAAAACGACGAUGCCAUGCAAGCUAUCACUUCAGCAGGGAGUGAGGCUUGGUUGAGCAAGACAGACUUAGCCAACGUCUUUAAUCUACUACCUAUUCACCCUUCACUAUGGCACCUGGCCUACGUUUGGCUCUAGGAGCAGCCCUAAGUAUUCAACAUCUUCACACAAACCCUCUGCU